rnacentral:rRNA from 1 species
AGCGAACGCUGGCGGCAGGCCUAACAACUGCAAUUCGAACGAACUCUUCGGAGUUAGUGGCGGACGGGGGAGUCACACGGGGGAACGUGCCUUUUGGUUCGGCAUCACUCCGGGACAUUUGCGCUAAUCACGCAUGUGCCCUUCGGGGGAAAGAUGUAUCGCUAUUAGAGCGGCCCGCGUCUGAUUAGCUAGCUGGUGAGGUACCGGCUCACCAAGGCGACGAUCAGUAGCUGGUCUGAGAGGAUGACCAGCCACACUGGGACUGAGACACGGCCCAGACUACGACGGGAGGCAGCAGGGGGGAAUCUUGCGCAAUGGGCGAAAGCCUGACGCAGCCAUGCCGCGUGAAUGAUGAAGGUCUGAGGAUUGUAAAAUUCUUUCACCGGGGACGAUAAUGACGGUACCCGGAGAAGAAGCCCCGGCUAACUUCGUG